rnacentral:rRNA from 1 species
UACGUAGGGUGCAAGCGUUUAAUCGGAAUUACUGGGCGUAAAGCGUGCGCAGGCGGUGAUGUAAGACAGGUGUGAAAUCCCCGGGCUUAACCUGGGAACUGCAUUUGUGACUGCAUCGCUGGAGUACGGCAGAGGGGGAUGGAAUUCCGCGUGUAGCAGUGAAAUGCGUAGAUAUGCGGAGGAACACCGAUGGCGAAGGCAAUCCCCUGGGCCUGUACUGACGCUCAUGCACGAAAGCGUGGGGAGCAAACAGG